rnacentral:rRNA from 1 species
AUUGAACGCUGGCGGCAGGCCUAACACAUGCAAGUCGAGCGGAUGAAGGGAGCUUGCUCCUGGAUUCAGCGGCGGACGGGUGAGUAAUGCCUAGGAAUCUGCCUGGUAGUGGGGGAUAACGUCCGGAAACGGGCGCUAAUACCGCAUACGUCCUGAGGGAGAAAGUGGGGGAUCUUCGGACCUCACGCUAUCAGAUGAGCCUAGGUCGGAUUAGCUAGUUGGUGGGGUAAAGGCCUACCAAGGCGACGAUCCAUAACUGGUCUGAGAGGAUGAUCAGUCACACUGGAACUGAGACACGGUCCAGACUCCUACGGGAGGCAGCAGUGGGGAAUAUUGGACAAUGGGCGAAAGCCUGAUCCAGCCAUGCCGCGUGUGUGAAGAAGGUCUUCGGAUUGUAAAGCACUUUAAGUUGGGAGGAAGGGCAGUAAGUUGAUACCUUGCUGUUUUGACGUUACCAACAGAAUAAGCACCGGCUAACUUCGUG